GUCGGGGAUGUCGAACUUGUCGGGGGUCGCCUCGAAGGCGUCCGGGGAGACUCCGGCGCCCACCAGGUGCAGGGCCAGGUCGCCGACG
rnacentral:tRNA from 1 species